rnacentral:rRNA from 1 species
AGUGAACGCUGGCGGUAGGCCUAACACAUGCAAGUCGAACGGCAGCACAGUAAGAGCUUGCUCUUACGGGUGGCGAGUGGCGGACGGGUGAGGAAUACAUCGGAAUCUACUUUUUCGUGGGGGAUAGCGUAGGGAAACUUACGCUAAUACCGCAUACGACCUACGGGUGAAAGCAGGGGAUCUUCGGACCUUGCGCGAUUGAAUGAGCCGAUGUCGGAUUAGCUAGUUGGCGGGGUAAAGGCCCACCAAGGCGACGAUCCGUAGCUGGUCUGAGAGGAUGAUCAGCCACACUGGAACUGAGACACGGUCCAGACUCCUAAGGGAGGCAGCAGUGGGGAAUAUUGGACAAUGGGCGCAAGCCUGAUCCAGCCAUACCGCGUGGGUGAAGAAGGCCUUCGGGUUGUAAAGCCCUUUUGUUGGGAAAGAAAAGCAGCAGGUUAAUACCCCGCUGUUCUGACGGUACCCAAAGAGUAAGCACCGGCUAACUUCGUG